UUUUUUUUUUUUUUUUUUUACUAGAUUGUUGGGAAGGACACUCUCUGACAGUGAAAAUUACCAGUUCACAAACAACAAUGAACUCAAAAUUUUCAGUGCACAUUUAUGCAGCACAAUAUUCAUGCAAGUCCCCUAUAAGGAUAAAGGAAACAAAUGAAAAUUUUGCAACUUUCCUAGCAAUGCUUUUUCAAGUGUCAGCCAAAUAUACUCAUUAAUCUCUUCCACUUAUCAACAAUUAUUAGCAUGAAUAUACACUUGAUUUCUUCAAUCCUUUUGGUUUACACCAAGAAGUUCCUCUAUAAAAGAUUGCAGGAUCUGAUCUUUGAUGAGACUACAAUCUAUCAUUGCAAAGGGUAUUGUGUACAUCCAGAACACCUGGAAAAGAAAAUCAAAAGAAACUCCUUAACUACAGAAAAAGAAGCCAAGCAUCAUUGCUCAUGAAAGAAUCCACCCACCAUUAAAACACAGCUAAUAAGGUGGAGCAUUUAACAUUCAUGCUGGGAUGGUAAAUUUUUUCUCAUCAUUAAUCAAUAAGGAUUAGAGUUUUUUACUGACAAAUAUCUUAUCCUUGAAACAUGAUAUUUGAAGUCAGGAACUUGGACACAGGAUCACAGACCUUGCAAGCAAUUGGACAAGUCGUUAAUUGUAAAUAAAUGCAGGCCUACUUGCAGAAUAGUUAAAAUAAGCCUACAUAAUGAAUCCACACCCACUUAGUUGACAUGUCAAAACUUGUGCGCCAUGAGCAUUAUCAACAAACUACAGCAUCUAUGUCAAAAUUAUAACCAUAAAAGACCGCAAAUAGCAUAUGGUAAGUGCCUCAUAUCAAGCCCACAAAUUAAUACACAAAUAUAUAAUUUGCCACUGAAUUGGGAUCAAGAUUGGAUGGAGUUUCAUAUAUAUAUAUAUAUGUACAAUAUGCUUGUAUAUGAAUAUACUUAUUCUAAAUGUCAAUUAGAAAAUGCAAAGGAGAGUAACAUUUGUUGAUUAUUCCAGUUAGGCUCAUUUUGGUUUCACAUGUUAGCAAGUUAGUAAAACUUGCUAACUUCAGUUUCUUGGUUUCAUAUGCAAGGCAAUAUAGGUUGGUUCGGUUUAGAUUUUAACCUAUUCAAGUUAUUUAUGUUUCUUGAAAGGCCUGAAACAAAACGAAGUUAAGUCCACAGAGACAUAACCAAACCAAGUAACCAACCACCAAAAGGCCAGUUGCAUCACUUUGUUGGUUUAUUCAGCUUUAACGGGCAGCAUAAUCAGAGCAAAUUUCAUGAACCAACAAACUAUUCUUGUUUUUAGCAAAAUAGUACACAAAUUAACAAGACAGAUUUUUAUAGUUUGAGCAAUAAAUAUCAAUACAAGAACAGAUAGAUGAUGUAAAAAUGGAGUACCUUGAGUAUGCACAAACGUUGUUAUUCUAAGCACAAGUCCAACAUCCAAAGCUCUUCCAGCAGGAUACUGCUAGAAUUUUCCAGCUCCACCAACAGCCCAUAAACAAACACAAGAAGAUUUGAUGCAACAAUCAAGGGCCUUACGAAGUUUUAUCCUCCUUAAUCUGAAGUUUAGGAAAUUCUUCUUUCUGUGCAGCUCUUCUUUUCGUCUGGAUCUGUUGAACAAAUUCUCUGACUAUGACAUGAAAUUUGGGAGCAAUCUUACUCGGUGAAGAGACAUUAAGACCUGCCUUUCUCAAGGCCCGUGCCACAUAUGUUUCAGCCUUUUGAAAAUGAGGUGGACAGAGUGCAGGGACAGCCGAUCUCAGUAUUGGUUUCCCACAAUGGACAGGUCUUCCCUGGGCACUUUUAACAACAAAGGUGCAGCCUAUAUACAGUUUCUGUUUGGAAUCCAAGAGUAUAUGCGGGUGACAAAACCUGGUCAACGCCAUCGGCGUCGCCUUGCAUCCACCCACCGCACACUUCCUAAUCCCCUCCUCUUCCUCCAGGUCCUCGUCCUCUUUAAACCCUAAUUUCCCGUUCAAUUCUGGAAUUCCAUUUGCAGAAUUCUCUUUAAUACCGUCUGUCUUUCUCUUCUUUUCAUCUCCCUUGAACGGGCUCUUCCCGUACUUCCAGUAGUACUCUUUGUACUUGGCUUUGAGGUCUUCCAUUAGGGCCCAGUAGUGGGUUCGGUAGAUCUUGGCGAGUUGUUUGACACGGCGAGAUCGGCGGGUGAUGACUUCGUGGUGAGUUAAGUGGGCGGAGGAUGAGAGGAAAGAGUCGAGGGCUGAUCCGUCGAUGGACAUGGCCUCGGAAGGCAGAGGAGCAUUGUCCAUGGCUGGGUGAGCGAUGAGCGAGGAGCGAGUUGGGGUUUUACGAGAGAAGAAAAUGAGAAUGU
rnacentral:misc_RNA from 1 species